UACGAAGGGGGCAAGCGUUGUUCGGAUUUACUGGGCGUAAAGGGCGCGCAGGCGGUUUUUUCAAGUCGGGUGUGAAAGCCCCGGGCUCAACCUGGGAACUGCACUCGAGACUGGAAGACUGGAGUUCGGGAGAGGAUGGUGGAAUUCCCAGUGUAGAGGUGAAAUUCGUAGAUAUUGGGAGGAACACCAAUGGCGAAGGCAGCUCGCUGGGACGGUACUGACGCUGAGACGCGAAAGCGUGGGGAGCAAACAGGAUUAGAAACCCCUGUAGU
rnacentral:rRNA from 1 species